GACGAACGCUGGCGGCGUGCCUAAUACAUGCAAGUCGAGCGCUGACGGAUGGUACUUGUACCAACUGGAUGAGCAGCGAACGGGUGAGUAACGCGUGGGUAAUCUGCCAUUGAGCGGGGGACAACAUCUGGAAACGAAUGCUAAUACCGCAUCAAAACUUUAAACACAAGAUUUAAGUUUGAAAGAUGCAAUUGCAUCACUCAAAGAUGAUCCCGCGUUGUAUUAGCUAGUUGGUGAGGUAAAGGCUCACCAAGGCGAUGAUACAUAGCCGACCCGAGAGGGUGGUCGGCCAACAUGGGACCGAGAACACGCCCCAACCCCCUCGGGGGGCAACCGUAGGGGAUCUUCGGCCAUGGACGGAAGGCUGGCCGAGGCACGCCGCGGUGGGGGAGGAGGUUCUUGGGGCGGUAAACUCUUUUUGUAGGGAAGAACGUUGGUGAGAGUGGAAAGCUCAUGAAGUGACGGUAACUAAACAGAAAGCACCGGCUAACUACGUG
rnacentral:rRNA from 1 species